AUUGAACGCUGGCGGCAUGCCUUACACAUGCAAGUCGAACGGCAGCACGGGUGCUUGCACCUGGUGGCGAGUGGCGAACGGGUGAGUAAUACAUCGGAACAUGUCCUGUAGUGGGGGAUAGCCCGGCGAAAGCCGGAUUAAUACCGCAUACGAUCUACGGAGGAAAGCGGGGGACCUUCGGGCCUCGCGCUAUAGGGUUGGCCGAUGGCUGAUUAGCUAGUUGGUGGGGUAAAGGCCUACCAAGGCGACGAUCAGUAGCUGGUCUGAGAGGACGACCAGCCACACUGGGACUGAGACACGGCCCAGACUCCUACGGGAGGCAGCAGUGGGGAAUUUUGGACAAAGGGCGAAAGCCUGAUCCAGCAAUGCCGCGUGUGUGAAGAAGGCCUUCGGGUUGUAAAGCACUUUUGUCCGGAAAGAAAUCCUUGGCCCUAAUACGGUCGGGGGAUGACGGUACCGGAAGAAUAAGCACCGGCUAACUACGUG
rnacentral:rRNA from 1 species